rnacentral:rRNA from 1 species
AGUGAACGCUGGCGGUAGGCCUAACACAUGCAAGUCGAACGGCAGCACAGUAAGAGCUUGCUCUUACGGGUGGCGAGUGGCGGACGGGUGAGGAAUACAUCGGAAUCUACUUUUUCGUGGGGGAUAACGUAGGGAAACUUACGCUAAUACCGCAUACGACCUACGGGUGAAAGCAGGGGAUCUUCGGACCUUGCGCGAUUGAAUGAGCCGAUGUCGGAUUAGCUAGUUGGCGGGGUAAAGGCCCACCAAGGCGACGAUCCGUAGCUGGUCGGAGAGGAUGAUCAGCCACACUGAAACUGGGACACGGUCCAAACUCCUACGGGAGGCAGCAGUGGGGAAUAUUGGACAAUGGGCGCAAGCCUGAUCCAGCCAUACCGCGUGGGUGAAGAAGGCCUUCGGGUUGUAAAGCCCUUUUGUUGGGAAAGAAAAGCAGCAGGUUAAUACCCCGCUGUUCUGACGGUACCCAAAGAAUAAGCACCGGCUAACUUCGU